GACGAACGCUGGCGGCGUGCUUAACACAUGCAAGUCGAACGGAAAGGCCCUGCUUUUGUGGGGUGCUCGAGUGGCGAACGGGUGAGUAACACGUGAGUAACCUGCCCUUGACUUUGGGAUAACUUCAGGAAACUGGGGCUAAUACCGGAUAGGAGCUCCUGCUGCAUGGUGGGGGUUGGAAAGUUUCGGCGGUUGGGGAUGGACUCGCGGCUCAUCAGCUUGUUGGUGGGGUAGUGGCUUACCAAGGCUUUGACGGGUAGCCGGCCUGAGAGGGGGACCGGCCACAUUGGGACUGAGAUACGGCCCAGACUCCUACGGGAGGCAGCAGUGGGGAAUAUUGCACAAUGGGCGGAAGCCUGAUGCAGCAACGCCGCGUGCGGGAUGACGGCCUUCGGGUUGUAAACCGCUUUCGCCUGUGACGAAGCGUGAGUGACGGUAAUGGGUAAAGAAGCACCGGCUAACUACGUG
rnacentral:rRNA from 1 species